ACUUAUGUUUAUGUUUCCAAUGUCAGGGGCCAGAUGUGACAUCACGAUGACCCAGUCUCCAUCCUCCCUGUCUGCAUCUCCAGGAGACAGAGUCACCAUCACCUGCAGGGCCAGUCAGAAUAUUAACAGUUGGUUAGCUUGGUAUCAACAGAAGCCAGGGCAAGCUCCUAAGCUCCUGAUAUAUAAGGCAUCUAGUUUGGAAUCUGGGGUCCCCUCAAGGUUCAGUGGCAGUGGAUCUGGAACAGAUUACACUUUCACCAUCAGUAGUGUGGAGCCUGAAGAUGUUGCCACUUAUUACUGUCAACAAGAUAGCAGUUACCCUCUCACAGUGACUCAGGCCAUGACAAAAACCUC
rnacentral:lncRNA from 1 species